rnacentral:rRNA from 1 species
GACCUGGCUGGGUGGUCCGCUUAACGGCGUGUACUGCUUGGCUGGGCCUUACCUCUUGGUGAGCCAGUGUGCCCUUUAUUGGUGUGCAUUGGGGAACCAGGACUUUUACCUUGAGAAAAUUAGAGUGUUCAAAGCAGGCCUAUGCCUGAAUACAUUAGCAUGGAAUAACGGAAUAGGACU